GUGCCAGCAGCCGCGGUAAUACGGAGGGGGCUAGCGUUGUUCGGAAUUACUGGGCGUAAAGCGCACGUAGGCGGACUGGAAAGUCAGGGGUGAAAUCCCGGGGCUCAACCCCGGAACUGCCUUUGAAACUCCCAGUCUUGAGGUCGAGAGAGGUGAGUGGAAUUCCGAGUGUAGAGGUGAAAUUCGUAGAUAUUCGGAGGAACACCAGUGGCGAAGGCGGCUCACUGGCUCGAUACUGACGCUGAGGUGCGAAAGCGUGGGGAGCAAACAGGAUUAGAUACCCCUGUAGUCC
rnacentral:rRNA from 1 species